GACGAACGCUGGCGGCGUGCUUAACACAUGCAAGUCGAACGAUGACGCCCGAGCUUGCUCGGUCUGAUUAGUGGCGAACGGGUGAGUAACACGUGAGCAACCUGCCCUUCACUCUGGGAUAACCUCGGGAAAUCGGGGCUAAUACCGGAUAUGAGCUCCUGUCGCAUGGCGGGUGUUGGAAAGUUUUUCGGUGAAGGAUGGGCUCGCGGCCUAUCAGUUUGUUGGUGAGGUAGUGGCUCACCAAGGCGAUGACGGGUAGCCGGCCUGAGAGGGCGACCGGCCACACUGGGACUGAGACACGGCCCAGACUCCUACGGGAGGCAGCAGUGGGGAAUAUUGCACAAUGGGCGAAAGCCUGAUGCAGCGACGCCGCGUGAGGGAUGACGGCCUUCGGGUUGUAAACCUCUUUCAGCAGAGAAGAAGCGAAAGUGACGGUACCUGCAGAAGAAGCGCCGGCUAACUACGUG
rnacentral:rRNA from 1 species